rnacentral:lncRNA from 1 species
AAAUUGCACAAUUGAAAUGCACAGGAGAACUCUGCUUUUCUUAUGCUUAUUUAUUUAGAAACGAGUGGCAUAAAAUCUCUCCUAUUGUGGCUCACUGCAAAAGUGUGAAGCCACUGAAACUGCAUCAGUGAGGGCGAAGCCCUCCAUCCAUGGACAGGAUUGGGCCAUGAAGAUGUCACCUCAAUGGGAAUGCUGCCCAGGGCCCCUGCUGGGCGUCAGGCUGAUGGCCACCCAAGACUGAGCACGCUAGGGCCAACAUUGCCACACUGCCCCCUGGUGGUGGUAUGCCAGUCGACGUCUGACAUUGAUGCUAGGGGUAUGGUGGAUAGAAGUCCUCCAGUGGGUCCAUGGGGUCUGAGGACCAACGAAGGAGGAGGUCUGGGCAACGACCCACCGCCAGGAGCUGGUCCCCCGGGAGCAAAUAGAGGCAAGUUGAGGACCUGA